UACCUGCAGCCCGAGUGGUGGUCGAUUUUAUUGAGUCUAAAACGUUCGUAGCCGGCCCGGUAAAUCCCUGGGUAAAUCGGGAAGCUCAACUUCCCGAAUUCCGGGGAGACUGCCGGGCUUGGGACCGGGAGAGGCUAGAGGUACUUCUGGGGUAGGGGUAAAAUCCUGUAAUCCUGGAAGGACCACCGGUGGCGAAGGCGUCUAGCUAGAACGGAUCCGACGGUGAGGGACGAAGCCCUGGGUCG
rnacentral:rRNA from 1 species